GUGCCCGUCCACCGAACGGUCGGCAGGCGAUCCGCGUCGGUCGCGCUGGGUGGUAUGGUUCCCCAGAGGCCGGUUCUUGUGCUGCCUACCCCUUCAGGGGAAGAGUUCCAAACUCGAUGUAAGCCUCCAUCCGGCGCCCUCCAGAGGGCGCGGGAGGACAACGGAGCACCCCCCGCGUUCCACCGAGCCUCCUCGGUCGCGUGGCCCGCGGGGACGUGCGAUGCUCUCGGACCCAGCGAACGCCGUGGGCGAGGACUCACGUCCCGGUCCCAAGUGAAGCAAACGGUAUAACGCACGACGGCCGCUCCCGCCCCCCGACCGCCCCGGCGGCGCGGGGGCGAAGGCGCGGCGUCGCUGAGGAAUGCU
rnacentral:misc_RNA from 1 species